rnacentral:rRNA from 1 species
UCGCCUGUUUUUCAAAAACAUUGCCUAAUGAAUAAAAAUAUUAGGUAACACCUGCCCAGUGAAUUAUUUUCAACGGCCGCGGAAACCCGUGCAAAGGUAGCAUAAUCAUUUGCCCCUUAAUUAGGGGCUUGUAUGAAUGGAUAAACGAGAAAUUAACUGUCUCUGGAGCACCAAUAAAAACUAUCCUUUAUGUGAAUAGACAUAAAUAAUUUUUGAAGACAAGAAGACCCUACUGCGCUUUAUUGAAAAUAAAUUUCUUCUAUAAUUUAUAUCAAUUUCGUUGGGGCGACACCGGAUACCCCAAACCAUCCGAAUAACUACAGGAAAACAAUCCACAUUAACUGACCCUAAAAAGAUUCAAGGAUAAGCUACCAUAGGGAUAACAGGCUAAUCCCCUUUAAGAGCCCUUAUCGACGAGGGGGGUUGGCACCUCGAUGUUGGCUUAGGGUAUCACAUAGGCGCAGCCGCCUAUAAAUGAAGGUUUGUUCAACCUACUAAACCCUACGUGAUCUGA